CGGUUGAUCCUGCCGGAGGCUAUUGCUAUCAGGGUUUGACUAAGCCAUGCGAGUCGAGAGGUGAAAGACCUCGGCAUACUGCUCAGUAACACGUGGAUAAUCUGCCCUCAGGUGAGGAAUAAUCCCGGGAAACUGGGGCUAAUGCCUCAUAGGAGACGGGUGCUGGAAUGCUCUGUCUCCGAAAGGUCCGCCGCCUGAGGAUGAGUCUGCGUCCGAUUAGGUUGUUGUUGGGGUAACGGCCCAACAAGCCUUUGAUCGGUACGGGUUGUGGGAGCAAGAGCCCGGAGAUGGAUUCUGAGACAUGAAUCCAGGCCCUACGGGGCGCAGCAGGCGCGAAAACUUUACAAUGCGAGCAAUCGUGAUAAGGAAACCCUGAGUGCCUGUCAAUGCAGGCUGUUCUGGUGUCUAACACACACCAAGAGAAAGGGCGGGGCAAGACCGGUGCCAGCCGCCGCGGUAAUACCGGCUGCUCGAGUGAUAGCCACUUUUACUGGGCUUAAAGCGUUCGUAGCUUGGUCGUUAAGUCUCUGGGGAAAUCUUUUGGCUCAACCAAAAGGCGUCUCAGGGAAACUGACGAUCUUGGAACCGGGAGAGGUAAGACGUACUUCGGGGGUAGGAGUGAAAUCUUGUAAUCCCCGAGGGACGACCGAUGGCGAAGGCAUCUUACCAGAACGGCUUCGACAGUGAGGGACGAAAGCUGGGGGAGCAAACCGGAUUAGAUACCCGGGUAGUCCCAGCCGUAAACGAUGUGCGUUAGGUGUGUCAGUGACCACGAGUCGCUGAGGUGCCGAAGGGAAACCGUGAAACGCACCGCCUGGGAAGUACGGUCGCAAGGCUGAAACUUAAAGGAAUUGGCGGGGGAGCAC
rnacentral:rRNA from 1 species